GCUGACAAAUCUUGAAAAGAAUAGACCUGGUUUGUGAAUUAUGGCCUGGACUUCACGUAUACUCUCUCUCCUGGCUCUCUGCUCAGGGGCCAUUUCCCAGGCUGUUGUGACUCAGGAAUCUGCACUCACCACAUCACCUGGUGGAACAGUCACACUCACUUGUCGCUCAAGUACUGGGGCUGUUACAACUAGUAACUAUGCCAACUGGGUCCAAGAAAAAACAGAUCAUUUAUUCACUGGUCUAAUAGGUGGUACCAACAACCGAGCUCCAGGUGCUCCUGCCAGAUUCUCAGGCUCUCUGAUUGGAGACAAGGCUGCCCUCACCAUCACAGGGGCACAGACUGAGGAUGAUGCAAUGUAUUUCUGUGCUCUAUGGUACAGCAACCAUUUCCACAAUGACAUGUGUUGAUGGGGAAGUAGAACAAGAACACUCUGGUACAGUC